CAUUGCAUAGCUCAGUCUGGAAGAGCGAUCGGCUGAUAACCGACUGUCGCGGGUUCGACUCCCGCUGCAAACC
rnacentral:tRNA from 1 species